rnacentral:rRNA from 3 species
AGUUUUUAUUAAAGCAAGUGGUGGAUGCCUUGGUAACAAGAGCCGAAGAAGGACGCAGUCGGCAGCGAUAUUCGUCGGGGAGGAGUCUAACAUCCUUUGAUCCGGCGGUUUCCGAAUAGAGUAAUCUCCUCGUAAGAGGGACUUGCACCAUACGGUGCGAGUAGGGAACUGGGCGAACCGAAACAUCCAAGUAGCCCAAGGAAAAGAAAAUAAUAAUGAUUCCGUCAGUAGCGGAGAGCGAAAGCGGAACAGCCUAAACCCGAACAAAUCUCGCAAGAGAUUUGCGCGGGUGUUGUAGGGUCUCAUUAUGGGAGUAUUAAGAAUAGUCAAACGGUGUGGAAUUGCCGACCAUAGAGAGUGAAAGUCUCGUAGACGAAAUUCAAGAUACCUCUAGAGAUACCUAAGUAACUCGAAGCACAUACUUUGAGCGAAUCUGGGGCAACCAUGCUCCAAGGCUAAAUACUCUUGUUGUCCGAUAGUGAACUAGUACCGUGAGGGAAAGGCGAAAAGAACCCCGGUGAGGGGAGUGAAAUAGAACCUGAAACCAUUUGCUAACAAACAGUAAGAGCAUCUCGUUUCCACUCGAUGCUUAAGUCAAAAGUAAAAAGUUAAAAAUCAAAAGUACAAGUAAAAAUUAAAAAUAUACAAUUGAAAUUUUGACUUUUGCAUUUUGAAUUUUGCAUUUGAACACCGAGUGGAGGCGAGGUGUGAUUACGUGCCUAUUGAAGAAUGAACCGGCGAGUUCUCAAUUACUGCAUUAGUUUAAGCCGCUAAUUACGGCUCAAGCGUAGCGAAAGCAAGUCUGAAUAGGGCGUAAUAAGCAGUUGUUGGGAGACCCGAAACCUGGCGAGCUAACCAUGAACAGGGUGAGCCCCGAUGAAAGUCGGGGGGAAGCCCGAACUCGUUGUCGUUGCAAUGACAUGAGAUGAUUUGCGGUUAGGGGUAAUAUGCCUAACGAGCCAGGAGAUAGCUGGUUCUCCCCGAAAUAUAUAUAGGUAUAGCGUCCGUUAAACUUUUCCGGAGGUAGAGCACUGAAUGGGUGUGGUAACGCAAGUUAUUAUACUCAAUCAAACUCCGAAUGCCGGAAAAAGAUUUACGGGCAGUCAGAACGGUGGGUCUAAGCUCAUCGCUCUAAAGGGAAACAACCCAGAUUUCCAUCUAAGGUCUCUAAAUUUCUGUUAAGUGUUAAAGGAAGUGUUUUUCCUCAGACACCCAGGAGGUUGGCUCAGAAGCAGCCAUCCUUGAAAGAAAGCGUAACAGCUCACUGGACGACAGCUCUCCUUCGCUUUUUGCUCCGAAAAAGCUACGGGACGAGCACCCUCUCUAAUUAACAAAGGAGAGCGAGUGCCCUUCCGAAGCUUCGAACGAAGUAAGAAGCGGAGGAGGGUGGAGAAAUGCGCCUAAAACGUAUCGAGGCUAAAACAGAAUACCGAAGAUGAAGAACUUGUGUAAAGCACAAGGAAUUCAAAAGUCAAAAGUUUUAUUCUGAAGGUUUAUUAAUUUUGAAUUUCUCAUGCUUUGCAUGAGUUGGUAGGGGAGCGUUGAUACUGCAGUGAAGCCGAGCUGUAAGGCAAGGUGGAGCGGUAUCAAGUGAGUAUGCCGGUAUAAGUAGCGAGAUCCCGGUGAGAAACCGGGACGCCGAAUACCCGAGGUUUCUCCGACAAUGCUAAUCAGUCGGAGGUUAGUCGACCCUUAGGUGAGUCCGAGCUUAGCUCGGAGUAGCCGAUGGAUAAACUGUUAAUAUUCAGUUACAGAGAGUGAAUCGUUACCAACUGGGGAUUGACAGGGAUGGAUAGCCAAACCCGCCGCAAGGCGAGCUUAAAUCACAAGGCAGUUUUUGUAGGAAAACCCGCAAAAACGUUUACACUGCAAAGUGUCUAACCGAAUGAUGAAUAAGAGUCUAAGCCGCAAGGCAAGGACAAUUUGGUAAUUUCAACCCUCAAGAAAAGAUUCGCAGUGAGAUUCAUUUUUUAUCGUACCGAAAACCGACACAGGUGGGUUGGUAGAGUAUACCAAGGCGGACGAGAGAAGGAAGUUCAAGGAACUCGGCAAAAAAGCUGGGCGUAAGUUAUGCAAGAUGCCCUACUCCGAUUUAUCGGAGUUCAACAAAAGAUUUUCAAGCGACUGUUUAACUAAAACACAGGUCUCUGCAAACCCGCAAGGGUAAGUAUAGGGGCUGAAGCCUGCCCAGUGCCGGAAGGUUAUGGGGAGGAGUGAGUCGCCGUAAGGCGACAGGCUCUGAACUUAAGCCCCGGUGAACGGCAGCAGUAACUAUGAAUCGAAAGGUGUUGUAGUUGUUAAACUUAGCUAUAUGCUGGAAUAACUCGUGUAUCCGACAGUACCCCGUUACCAUACGGUACAGGGUGACAAUCUGUUCGGUGGAGUCAAUCAGCAGGAAAGGCUUUGGUAAAUUAAAAUCAAUGUCAUUCCCACGUUUACCCUGUAAGGGAAAGUGGGAAUCUAUAUCAAAAAAGGAGUAAAACAGUAAAUCAGAUAAUCAGGUUAAGUAAAUCUGAGAACAGAAUAUCAGUAGUAAAAACUGAUCCCUGUUUUCUAAUCUCUUUUCCCGAUACUCUGAUCAACUGAUAAUCUUAAUUGUGUUAUAUAGAUUCCGGCUCGUAGGCCGGAAUGACAAAAUAAAAAUUAUCAAAGAAUCCUCAGAGACUAUACGCUGAGACCGAGCUUAGCUCGGGAUGAUAUAGUCCGACCUUCAGUGCGAACUGAAGAACCGUAAAAUCGGUCUAGUAACAAAGGUGAACUGUUCGAUGGUAGCGAAGUCCCUCGCCAGGUAAGUUCUGGCCCGCAUGAAAGGCUUCACGACUUGAAAACUGUCUCGAACUUCCACUCGGCGAAAUUGAAAUGGCUGUGAAGAUGCGGCCUACGCAUUCUUGGACAAAAAGACCCCGUGGAGCUUUACUAUAGCUUGGUGUUGGAAUGAUGUUUGAAAUUGUGCAGUGCAGGAGGGAGUCUCGACGCAAGUCGGACGCCAAUGUAACACCUCUCUUUUUAAACCUCAAACCUUACCUGUGAGUUCUGGAAACGAACUCGGGGAACGCGCCAGGUGGGUAGUUUGACUGGGGCAGUCGCUUGCUAAAGAGUAACGCGAGUGCACAAAGGUUGGCUAGUCUCGAACGGAAAUCGAGAUGAUAGUGUAAAGGCAAAAGCCAGCUUGACUGUGAGGCCGACGGGCCAAGCAGAGUCGAAAGACGGUCUUAGUGAUCCUCCAACUCGUCGUGGGACGGUUGGGGCUUAACGGAUAAAAGCUACCCCGGGGAUACAACUGUGUCCCGUCUUGGUGAAUAUAAAAAUACCAGGACUUGUAUGCAACUAAUAACGGUGGAACCCGCAACUGGAGAGUUUUAAGUAAAAGUCUUCUCUCGCGAGGCAGCCAAGGGUAAUACCGUGGGAAGUCCGGCUUUGCCGGACCCCGUAACGACUGAUUCCGAAAGGAUGAGAUAUAAAUUACUUCCCAAAAGGGAAAAUCUACAAUUUAUAUCAUACGUUGCCUCCCAUAAAAUUUUAUAUGGGAUGAAGAUAUAGUCUGCGCUUACAGAAAUGUAGGAUUUUGUGAACAGGCUGAUCUGAUCCGAAAGUCCAUAUUGACGAUCAGGUUUGGCACCUCGAUGUCGGCUCAAUUUUAGGGUCGCUACCCGAGUAAUCGAGUAGAUUAAUACGAGCUCAUAACGGUGGACUCCAAUUGCGAUAUAAUUAUCGUAAAUGGACAAUACCGUGGGAAGUCGACAAAGAGAUAUUAUUUUUGGAAUGCUAUUAGGUGACGGAUUUUUAGAACGCAAUGGAAAAUAUGUCAGAUUGGUAACUGACCAUAGCGGAAAACAAGAAACUUAUGUUAAUUGGUUAGCAAGCCAAUUAACUAACUUAAAUCCGAAAUUAGUUUUUAAGAAAAGAAUUGAUCGAAGAAACCUGAAAGUUUACGAUCAUUGUAUUUUAAGAACCAACACUUCAUCUAAGUUGGAAAAAUUCUUUUCCUUAUUUUAUGAAGGUAAAAGAAAAAGAAUUCCACCUUGUUUAAGUAAAAUAAUAUCUCCAAUGGUGUUAGCGGUUUGGAUAAUGGAUGAUGGAUACAAAAGAAAUGAUUGUCGGGCAAUGAGAAUAAAUACCCAAAGUUAUACCUUGGAAGAACAGAAAAUUAUCAGACAAUCGUUUCUUCGUAUCGGUAUCAAAGUUAAUAUCCAUAAACAAAAACAGCACUAUUUGGUUUAUAUUCCAUCUUCUUAUAUGAAGAAAUUUAUAGGAAUGAUUAAACCCUAUAUUAUUCCUUCUAUGGAAUAUAAAAUUUGUUUGACCCCGUAACGACUGAUUCCGAAAGGAUGAGAUAUGAGAUUUAUCUUGUAUCACACGCUCGUCCCCGCGCAAAUUUCUGAAGAAAUUUGUUCGGGUGAAGGUAUAGUCUGCACCAUUAGUAAUAAUGGAUUAUGUGCAUCGCAUCCUGGGGGGGUAGCCCCUCCCAAGGGUUGGACUGUUCGCCCAUUAAAGCGGUACGUGAGCUGGGUUCAGAACGAUGUAAAUCAGUUCGGACUCUAUCCAGAAUGUGCGUUGGAUUCUUGAGGGAAGUUCUCCUCAGUAAACCCAUAUUAGGGUUUUGCUGCUUCCGAAGCAAUUCGGAAUGAAAAUUCGGCUUAUAACGGUGGAGUCUUAAUAACGAAGAUAAUACCGUGGGAAGUCGGUUUGGAGGACGGAUGACAGAAUACGGAAGACGGAUAAGCAAAGCUUGAUGCUUCGCAAUAGCAGAUAGAACAGAUUUGACAGAUUAUUCCCUGUCAUUCUGAACUUGAUUCAGAAUCUAUAUAAAUUAUUGUAUAGAUUCCUGGUCAAGCCAGGAAUGACAUAGUAAUUUUCUGUUUUUCUGUCUUUCUGCAAUCUGUUUUCUGUUAUCUGUCAUCUGGCUUCUAGACUUGACCCCGUAACGACUGUAUCCUUGUACUAUUUAGUACAGGAUCGACUUAAAUCUACUUGAUUUAGGUAACACGCCGACCCCGUUUAAAUUUCAAAAGAAAUUUGUUCGGGUGAAGAUAUAGUCUACACUUCUAGUGAUAGAAGAUAAUGUGACGAGAGGACCAGGAGAAGGGGAUCCCUGGUGUGCCAGUUGUCCGAGCUUAGCUCGGGCAUCGCUGGGUAGCUACAUCCUCUGGGGAUAACUGCUGAAAGCAUCUAAGCAGGAAGCUCCGCCCAAGAUUAGGAAUCCUUCCGAGCUUAGCUCGGUGAAGACCCCAGGUAGACUACCUGGUUGAUUACGCCGCAAG